AAAAACAUAACCUUUAGCCAAACAAAUAUUAAAGGCAACGCCUGCCCAGUGAACAAUUAAACGGCCGCGGUACCCUAACCGUGCAAAGGUAGCAUAAUCAUUUGUCUACUAAUUAUAGACCUGUAUGAAGGGCAAAAUGAGGGUCUAACUGUCUCUUAUAAUAAAUCAAUUAAACUGAUCUCCUAGUAAAAAAGCUAGAAUAAUAUCAUAAGACCAGAAGACCCUGUGAAGCUUAAAUCAAACUACUAAAUCACAUAGUAAUUACUUUCGGUUGGGGCGACCUUGGAAAAAAAUAGAACUUCCAAGACCCAGUACAACUGACAAUUGAACCAAGUUACUCCAGGGAUAACAGCGCAAUCUUCUUCAAGAGCCCAUAUCAAAAAGAAGGUUUACGACCUCGAUGUUGGAUCAGGACAUCCUAAUGGUGCAGCCGCUAUUAAGGGUUCGUUUGUUCAACGAUUAACAGUCCUACGUGAUCUGA
rnacentral:rRNA from 1 species